UACGGAGGGUGCAAGCGUUACUCGGAAUCACUGGGCGUAAAGGACGCGUAGGCGGGUUAUCAAGUCAGGUGUGAAAUCCUAUGGCUCAACCAUAGAACUGCACUUGAAACUGGUAACCUAGAGUAUGGGAGGGGGAGAUGGAAUUAGUGGUGUAGGGGUAAAAUCCGUAGAUAUCACUAGGAAUACCGAAAGCGAAGGCGAUCUCCUGGAACAUUACUGACGCUAAGGCGUGAAAGCGUGGGGAGCAAACGGG
rnacentral:rRNA from 1 species